rnacentral:misc_RNA from 1 species
GAAAUGCGAUAAGUAGUGUGAAUUGCAGAAUUCAGUGAAUCAUCGAAUCUUUGAACGCACAUUGCGCCCCUUGGUAUUCCAUGGGGCAUGCCUGUUCGAGCGUCACUUGUACCCUCAAGCUCUGCUUGGUGUUGGGUGUUUGUCCCGUCUCCGCGCGUGGACUCGCCCCAAAGUGAUUGGCAGCCGGCGUACUGGUCCCGGAGCGCAGCACAUGUCGCGCAAACGAGUGCCUUGGUACGGCGGCGUCCAUAAGCCCCUCUCUCACGCUCUUGACCUCGGAUCAGGUAGGGAUACCCGCUGAACUUAAGC